GAAAAUCCGUCGAAUUUUAAAAUCGUGAGGG
rnacentral:tRNA from 1 species